rnacentral:lncRNA from 1 species
CAGGAGGGUUCAGCACGAGUACCUCGAGGGGAAGUUAAGGGCCCUCAGGGAGAAGGGGAGAAAAGAAAAAUGAAUUAAUAUGCAGAGAAGCAUCACAGUCAUACAGCUGCUUCCAAAACCACAUACCACCUUAAAUCUGUGAAAUAUCUAUGUUGUAUGUACUGUAAGGUACAUGAGUCUUCAAAGUCUUUAUCUUAUACGCCCUUGCAGCUUCCCCGUCCCAGGCAGCGUGCUGGUAGAGUCCUGGUGCCGGUUAGGGAGGCAGACCCCGCCCACAGGCUGGACUCUACUAAGACUGGUAUCCAAGGUCCAGUUAUACAGGUAAGAGUUUGCAGUUAGUCCUAUAUAAGCUCUGCCUCUCUACUAGAUUCUAAUGAUUAAAGAUCUACAGUUCAGGAGAAAACCUGUUCAUUUCUUCCCCUGUUUCUUCCAGGCUGUGUAUGGCUUGGAUCACGUGGAGGACCAUGGAGGACAGGUCAGAGUUCAGUUUUAUUUAACCCAAGAUUUUUGUCAAUUGUCUGGCUGACAUCACUAAUUAUUAAGUGGAGUAGAGAGUGAACAGGCAGCCUCUCCAAGUGUCCUGUAGGAGAUUUUAAAGUCCUCAAAUUUUCAGAAUGUAAAUAAGUUAUUUUAUUGCAGAAAAAAGGGUUUUGUAUCACCUGCACCUGUAGCCCGUAUACGAGACAAGGCAUUUUAAGGGAUUAAAGCAGCACAUAUAAGAAGCUGUGAGAUCUGUUUUGAACCAUUAAACCUCAAAAUCCAUUUGGAUGCUUAAGAUAUUUUGCUUUAUUUUUUAUAUUUUUACUAUUUAUUAAUGUUUUAGUAAAGUAUUUCUGCUCCUGUGUACCUGGUUAUCCCAUUGCUGUUGUAACAAAACAUUCCCCAUUGUGGGACUAAUAAAGAAUGAUCUUAUCUCAUCUUGUUUUGUUUUUUUUAUUGACAGUGCCAAGAAGCUCCAGCUCCAGACCUCACCACCACCUCUCAUCCGGAGCCAUCCAGGCAGGGAGACACUGCACUGUCACCCACUAUUAACACACAGGGAAGAACCCUUAAACGCCUCACCACCAACUUUAGGACGUCCACUGUGUCUCGUUGCAGGUCUCCUCGCCGAGUCCUGGUGCGUGUUCAAGAGGCAGAACCUUGUCACAGGCUGGAGCUUCAGGACACAACGCCUGAACUGGAGCCAGUGCCAGCUGCACAGGACAAGGAUGACCUGGAGGUCCUGGAGGGCUGUGAAGAGCAACGAGAGACAGCUCCAAAGAGAAAGGUCAGAUUUCAGUGUUACUUAAAGCAAAAGGAUCAGUAUAGAAUCUUAUAAAUCUGCUGUUUUGUUGUGCUGUAUUGCUUAUGCACGUAUAUGCAAUGUCUGUAUGUCGAUGUUUUUUUACACCAUUUGUUACUUAAUUCUGUUUUCUUUUAUUUCUUUCCAUGCAGAGAGGAUGGCUACAGCACCUGCUCAGCUGCUU